rnacentral:rRNA from 1 species
CAGCAGCCGCGGGAAUACGGAGGGUGCAAGCGUUAAUCGGAAUUACUGGGCGUAAAGCGCACGCAGGCGGUCUGACAAGUCAGAUGUGAAAUCCCCGGGCUUAACCUGGGAACUGCAUUUGAAACUGUCAGGCUGGAGUCUUGUAGAGGGGGGUGGAAUUCCAGGUGUAGCGGUGAAAUGCGUAGAGAUCUGGAGGAAUACCGGUGGCGAAGGCGGCCCCCUGGACAAAGACUGACGCUCAGGUGCGAAAGCGUGGGGAGCAAACAGGAUUAGAUACCCCGGUAGUCCCUGUCUCUUAUAC